rnacentral:snRNA from 1 species
AUGCUUGCUCUGGCAGCACAUAUAUUAAAACUGGAAAGACACAGAGAAGAUUAGCAUGGCCCUUGAGCAAGGAUGAUGUGCAAAUUUGUGAAGUGUUCCAUAUUCUU